GACGAACGCUGGCGGCGUGCUUAACACAUGCAAGUCGAACGGUGAAGCGAGUGCUUGCACUCGUGGAUCAGUGGCGAACGGGUGAGUAACACGUGAGUAACCUGCCCAUCACUCUGGGAUAAGCACUGGAAACGGUGUCUAAUACUGGAUACGACCAACCCUUGCAUGGGGUGUUGGUGGAAAGAUUUAUCGGUGAUGGAUGGACUCGCGGUCUAUCAGCUUGUUGGCGGGGUAAUGGCCCACCAAGGCGACGACGGGUAGCCGGCCUGAGAGGGUGACCGGACAGAAGGGGAAGAAGACACGGCACAGAGGAGGACGGGAGGCAACGGUGGGGAAUAGUGGACGAGGGGCGAAGGGCUGAAGCAGUGGAGGCGCGGGGGGGAAGAGGGGGUGAGGGUAGUAAAACUCGAUAAGCAGGGAAGAAGCGAAGGUGACGGUACAUGCAGAAGAAGCAAGAGCUAACUAAGU
rnacentral:rRNA from 1 species